UACGUAGGGGGCUAGCGUUGUCCGGAUUUAUUGGGCGUAAAGAGCGUGUAGGCGCCAGGUAGGUCCGCUGUGAAAGUCCGAGGCUCAACCUCGAGAUGUCGGCGGAAACUGUCUGGCUAGAGUCCGGAAGAGGAGAGUGGAAUUCCUGGUGUAGCGGUGAAUGCGCAGAUAUCAGGAAGAACACCUAUGGCGAAGGCAGCUCUCUGGGACGGUACUGACGCUGAGACGCGAAAGCGUGGGGAGCGAACAGG
rnacentral:rRNA from 1 species